CAGUUUCCUUCACAUCUAGCUUCUUACUUACAUGGUUUCAAGUUCAAAUAUGAUUCUAACCAGGACUUGGCAAAUGGUGCUAAGUUCUCCACUUUCUAAGCUCACUACCUCCUUCCAACCUGAGAUUUAUACAGUUUUCAAGUUUCUAUUUCUCUUCACUGUGAGGAUCCUCAUCCCAGUGUUUGCCUAUUAAUUCUGUUCAUCUAAGGCAUUGGCUUUAGCCCACAGUUUAAGAGGAGGUUGAAUGGUUGCUACUGCUGCUUGAAUGCUAAAAUUACAGAUUUCUGUGAAGAAAUUUCCUUGAAACUCAAGCAUUCCCUUCAUAAGGCAGAAGGGAACUUCCUAGGUUCCAGAAAGUAAACAAACUUCACAUGUCUUGGAGAGUUGAAACUUAGAAAAUUCAGACUUGCUUCUCUCCAAGGUUAUGGAACAGUAAACCUCAGCUGGGAUAGGAGACUCUGACCAGCAUUGCUACCUAGAAGAGACUCCCUGACCUGUCAAGUGGUCUGUAAGUCAUGUAGGAUGUUGCAGGGAUACAGUUUCCACAAGUCUUCACCCUUAUUGGGGUGGGCUUUUUGGUGAUACAACUGCAUCUGAGUCAUCUCUGCUCCUGUAACUCCUUACCCAUACUCCUGUUGGUAAACCCAAUAAAAAUUGUAGAUCCA